rnacentral:lncRNA from 1 species
AGCCUAUGAGUUGUGUUCAAUGUUUUGUGGUCUUUCAUUUUCUAUCAUCCUGUUUCUAGUUCCCAAUCUGUGUCUUUUUCCCACAUGCGAUUUUGUUCACAACUUCUGUGCAGUGUGCAGUGGUUUUUUGUUUGUUUUAAACUGAACUGUUUCAUCUUUGCUUGGAAGUUUGAAUUGUGCAAAAUUUUGUAGUACACUGUUAUUUGUAAAACUAAGAAUUGGUGAUCAUUGUAUAUCACUUGUAAAUGAAGUUAUAUACGUGAGAUUGUCAUGAAAUCUGAUGUGACUGACUUUGUUGAGUCUGAAGUGGAAUAUGUCGCUGGUACCUCCAGAACUCGUCUUGGUGAUGCCGAUUUGGACUUGGAUGAAGGCAAUUAGUGAAAAAUGGUACAUGGUGGUCACAGAAACAGAACACAGGUAGGAAAAUUCAAGAAAAAAAUAUUGGAAGGGUUAAUGAGACAGAGGUCAAACAAUGGGUAAGUGUCACAAUCACUGAAAUGUAGCGUUUUAUUGCUUAUUCUCUCUCACCUCAUCGCUGUUUCACCUGAUAUCUGCAGAAACCCUGAAAAAAAGGAGAACCUGGAUACGACCCGUGGGUAAAGAUGAGGGAAUUUAUGGAUUCCAUGAAUCAAUCCUUCAAAAGUUAUUUUGUUACCACUUUAUACAGAUAAUUUUUAUACUAAACUUCCUCUUGCUGAAACUCUACUAGCACAAGACACUUACCUGACUGGAACAGCAAAUAAAAGGGCCAAGGACCUGUCGAAAGCUGUACUAUCAGCAGAACUGGGGGUACAGGAAGUAUUUACUUCAGGAGAGGACCUAUUUUAUGUGUUGGGUAUAAAUAAAAAAAGUCAAAAGAAAGCCUGUUUACCUCCUGUCAACUGGUUGGCAUGCCGAACAUCGAGUGAUCAAAAGCCGUGGAAGUGGACUGCAGGCUGUAAAGCCAGUCAUGAUUGACCAAUAUAACAAGUAUAUGGGUGGUAUUGAUUUGAAAGACAGGCCACUGUACCAUCUCACAUGUUCAAGGGCAACCCGGCGAUACUGGAAAAAGAUUUUCUACCACAUACUUGAUAUGGCCCUAUUCAAUUCUUAUAUUCUGUAAGCAAACAACACAGAUAAACCUUUGCCUAGAAGGCUUUACAUGAUGGCGCUAGUAGAACAACUCUCCAGGAAACCAGCUAGACAACCUUCACCUCAGCCACCUCAAGCUUCUAGUAGGACUCAGCACAAACUAGCCCAUCUUCCAGGAGUCCAAAAAAGAGUAUGCUCUAUCUGUGGUAAAAGAAGCCCUUGGUGGUGCCCCCAAUGCAACUGUGGAGUACAUCCUAAGUGCUUUAGUAACAUGAAACACUUCAGGAGGACUCUGAAAGGAACCAAGAAGCAGCAUGUAAUGGCAGAUGCAAGUGACUCAGAAUGAGGAAAACAAAACUGAGUGUUAAUAGUGUAAAUAUAUUGCAUUUGUGUGCUUUUUGUUUUGUGAAAGUUAAUUUUAUCAUUCUUAUUUCAUUGUGUUCUUUAGAAACUGAAAAUAUGUAAAAAUGUGCCAUGUUGCGCUUGUCACUGCAAACAUAAAAAUUAUAAAACUUUUUGUUCUAAACCCCAUAACACUAUAUAUUUUUGUGUUCGCAACUAAAUUUCCUACAGUUUGGCUAUUUUGAAUUUUUUUAAUAUUUUACAUUUUAUUAUGAUGUGGAUAUUUUUAUGUAACACAUUUUUUCAGAUGUGAAGAAAUAAAUGCAAUAUGUAAAACUUA